CUAUAGUUGGUGAAAUGCGGUUAAGU
rnacentral:piRNA from 1 species